rnacentral:snRNA from 1 species
GGAUAUGAAGGCAAUCUGGCUGCAACAUCUGUCAUCCUAUUAAUUGCCAGCAUUGAUGCAGUGAAUCUGGCUGGCUAGGAGGGUGUCCCCUUCCUUUCUCACUGCUCCAUGUGUGCUCCUCCCAAAGCUGUGUGCUAAGUAAAAGAGGAUGACCAUCGCUGAUGGAGGAGGACCCAUCUUCAAUAAGGUUAUAUGAGUAGCUGGGCUCCCCUGCUAGAACCUCCAAACAAGCUCUCAAGUAGAGAAAAAAUCAACCACAUAAUAUUAUUCUUCA